rnacentral:lncRNA from 1 species
AAAAAAUAAACCAAUUUAUAAAAAAUAAAAUAAAAAUUUUUUAGCAUAGCAAAACGGUGUCAUUUUGUUCAAAACGAAAUACCGGCGUUUUUUUAUAGAAACGCCGCAAAAAAUAAACCAAUUUAUAAAAAAGAAAAUAAAAAAUUUUUAGAAUAGCAAAACGGAGUCGUUUUGUUCAAAAUGAAAAAAAUUUUGCGGCGUUUUUAUGAAAAACGCGGCUAAAGGUAAGCAAUAGCGGCGUUUUUUAUAAAAACGCCACAAAAAAAU